CCUACGGGCGGCUGCAGUGGGGAAUAUUGGGCAAUGGGGGAAACCCUGACCCAGCAACGCCGCGUGAAGGAAGAAGGUUUUCGGAUUGUAAACUUCUGUCCUUGGUGAAGAGAAGAAGACGGUAGCCAAGGAGGAAGCCCCGGCUAACUACGUGCCAGCAGCCGCGGUAAUACGUAGGGGGCAAGCGUUGUCCGGAAUGAUUGGGCGUAAAGGGCGCGUAGGCGGCUUUAUAAGUCUGGAGUGAAAGUCCUCUUUUCAAGGGAGGAAUUGCUUUGGAAACUAUAGAGCUUGAGUGCAGGAGAGGUUAUCGGAAUUCCCGGUGUAGCGGUGAAAUGCGUAGAUAUCGGGAGGAACAUCGGUGGCGAAGGCGGGUAACUGGACUGCAACUGACGCUGAGGCGCGAAAGUGUGGGGAGCAAACAGGAUUAGAUACCCCUGUAGUC
rnacentral:rRNA from 1 species